CCUACGGGAGGCAGCAGUAGGGAAUCUUCCACAAUGGGCGAAAGCCUGAUGGAGCAACGCCGCGUGGGUGAAGAAGGUCUUCGGAUCGUAAAACCCUGUUGUUAGAGAAGAAAGUGCGUGAGAGUAACUGUUCACGUUUCGACGGUAUCUAACCAGAAAGCCACGGCUAACUACGUGCCAGCAGCCGCGGUAAUGCGUAGGUGGCAAGCGUUAUCCGGAUUUAUUGGGCGUAAAGGGAACGCAGGCGGUCUUUUAAGUCUGAUGGGAAAGCCUUCGGCUUAACCGGAGUAGUGCAUUGGAAACUGGGAGACUUGAGUGCAGAAGAGGAGAGUGGAACUUCAUGUGUAGCGGUGAAAUGCGUAGAUAUAUGGAAGAACACCAGUGGCGAAAGCGGCUCUCUGGUCUGUAACUGACACUGAGGCUCGAAAGUGUGGGUAUCAAACAGGAUUAGAUACCCUUGUAGUC
rnacentral:rRNA from 1 species